rnacentral:rRNA from 1 species
UACGGGGGGAGCAAGCGUUGUUCGGAUUUACUGGGCGUAAAGGGCGCGUAGGCGGUCAGCACAAGUCAGUUGUGAAAUCUCCGGGCUUAACUCGGAAAGGUCAACUGAUACUGUGCGACUAGAGUGCAGAAGGGGCAACUGGAAUUCUCGGUGUAGCGGUGAAAUGCGUAGAGAUCGGGAAGAACAUCGGUGGCGAAAGCGCUCUACUGGACCGCAACUGACACUCAGGGACGAAAGCUAGGGGAGCGAAUGGG